GAUGAACGCUGGCGGCGUGCCUAAUACAUGCAAGUCGAGCGAACAGACGAGGAGCUUGCUUCUCUGACGUUAGCGGCGGACGGGUGAGUAACACGUGGAUAACCUACCUAUAAGACUGGGAUAACUUCGGGAAACCGGAGCUAAUACCGGAUAAUAUUUUGAACCGCAUGGUUCAAAAGUGAAAGACGGUCUUGCUGUCACUUAUAGAUGGAUCCGCGCUGCAUUAGCUAGUUGGUAAGGUAACGGCUUACCAAGGCAACGAUGCAUAGCCGACCUGAGAGGGUGAUCGGCCACACUGGAACUGAGACACGGUCCAGACUCCUACGGGAGGCAGCAGUAGGGAAUCUUCCGCAAUGGGCGAAAGCCUGACGGAGCAACGCCGCGUGAGUGACGAAGGUCUUCGGAUCGUAAAACUCUGUUAUUAGGGAAGAACAUAUGUGUAAGUAACUGUGCACAUCUUGACGGUACCUAAUCAGAGAGCCACGGCUAACUACGUGCCAGCAGCCGCGGUAAUACGUAGGUGGCAAGCGUUACCCGGAAUUAUUGGGCGUAAAGCGCGCGUAGGCGGUUUUUUAAGUCUGAUGUGAAAGCCCACGGCUCAACCGUGGAGGGUCAUUGGAAACUGGAAAACUUGAGUGCAGAAGAGGAAAGUGGAAUUCCAUGUGUAGCGGUGAAAUGCGCAGAGAUAUGGAGGAACACCAGUGGCGAAGGCGACUUUCUGGUCUGUAACUGACGCUGAUGUGCGAAAGCGUGGGGAUCAAACAGGAUUAGAUACCCUGGUAGUCCACGCCGUAAACGAUGAGUGCUAAGUGUUAGGGGGUUUCCGCCCCUUAGUGCUGCAGCUAACGCAUUAAGCACUCCGCCUGGGGAGUACGACCGCAAGGUUGAAACUCAAAGGAAUUGACGGGGACCCGCACAAGCGGUGGAGCAUGUGGUUUAAUUCGAAGCAACGCGAAGAACCUUACCAAAUCUUGGCAUCCUUUGACAACUCUAGAGAUAGAGCCUUCCCCUUCGGGGGACAAAGUGACAGGUGGUGCAUGGUUGUCGUCAGCUCGUGUCGUGAGAUGUUGGGUUAAGUCCCGCAACGAGCGCAACCCUUAAGCUUAGUUGCCAUCAUUAAGUUGGGCACUCUAAGUUGACUGCCGGUGACAAACCGGAGGAAGGUGGGGAUGACGUCAAAUCAUCAUGCCCCUUAUGAUUUGGGCUACACACGUGCUACAAUGGACAAUACAAAGGGCAGCGAAACCGCGAGGUCAAGCAAAUCCCAUAAAGUUGUUCUCAGUUCGGAUUGUAGUCUGCAACUCGACUACAUGAAGCUGGAAUCGCUAGUAAUCGUAGAUCAGCAUGCUACGGUGAAUACGUUCCCGGGUCU
rnacentral:rRNA from 1 species